rnacentral:sRNA from 1 species
AAGGUAGUCAGGAGACUGCUGAUGAGGU